UUAAGUUCAGCGGGUAGUCUUGCCUGAUUUGAGAUCACAUUUGUUGUGCAGCACUGUUUACAUGCUGUUUCGUUUUGUUGGAUAAAAGAAAAACAACUAGAGAUUACCCCUCGCGAUUAUUUUACACGAAUGUAAACAUCCUCACUGAGAAUAACACUAGCUAUCCAAAUCCUCACUGCCUUUAAAGGAACAGGUAACCC
rnacentral:misc_RNA from 1 species